CGGCGUAAAGCGUGGUUAAGAUAUAAAUUAAAUAGGGUCAAAUAGCCUCUAAGUAGUCAAAUACUAUCGAGACCACAAAGUUCAUUUACGAAAGUAACCCUAAUUCUUCUGACCCCACGAAAGCCAUAACACAAACUGGGAUUAGAUACCCCACUAUGUAUGGCUGUUAAAAUUGAUGGUACUUCACUCGAACCAUCCGCCCGGGAACUACGAGCCUCAGCUUAAAACCCAAAGGACCUGGCGGUGCUUUAGAUCCCCCUAGAGGAGCCUGUUCUAUAACUGACAACCCCCGUUAAACCUCACCACCCCUUGUCAAAUCCGCCUAUAUACCACCGUCGUAAGCUUACCCUACUGAAGGUUAAAAAGUAAGCCCCAAUAGUAAUACUAAAGACGUCAGGUCGAGGUGUAGCGUAUGGAGUGGGAAGAAAUGGGCUACAUUCCCUAAAGAAGGGAACACGAAUGGUAGUUUGAAAAAACUACACUGAAGGAGGAUUUAGUAGUAAGAAAGGAAUAGAGUGCCUUACUGAAAAUGGCCCUAAAGCGCGUACAGACCGCCCGUCACUCUCCCCAAAACAAUACCUUUAUUCCUAAUAAUUAAAACAAAAUAAGGUGAGAUAAGUCGUAACAUGGUAAGUGUACCGGAA
rnacentral:rRNA from 1 species